GGGUCAGUAGGUUGGUCGUGCCACCGGUACGUACUGGUCUCACUGAUUCCUCCUUCCUAAAGAACCGUAAUGCCAUUAAUUUGGUGUCGCGGGGAAACAGGACCGUUACUUUGAAAAAAUUAGAGUGUUUAAAGCAAGCUAACGCUUGAAUACAUUAGCAUGGAAUAAUGAAAUAGGACGAUCGAUCCUAUUUUGUUGGUUUCUAGGAUUGACGUA
rnacentral:rRNA from 1 species